UUUUUUUUUUUUUUGAGUCAUAAUUUAGAAUUUACACUGAUACAUGAUUUGAAAUCUAUGCCCUGAGUCCAGCAAAAGGUUCCAUGGCCCCUUCUAUUAUUCCUUUUUAUUCUUCUUGGACAGAUGCUUGACUUUGAGUCCCUGAUGCUGGCCUGCCCCAAGCACUAACCUAUGCAUUAUAUUCACCUUCAAUAAUAUAAUCUCAAACCUAUUAGGUUUUUUUGUUGUUGUUGUUGUUUCUUUUUGCCUUUUGAGACAGGGUCUCACUCUGCUGUCACCUAGGCUGGAAUGCAGUGAUGCCAUUAUAGCUCACUGCAGCCUCGACCUCCCGGGCUCAAGCGAUCCUCCCUCCUCAGCCUCCCAAAGUGCUAGAAUAACAGGUGUGAGCCACUGUCCCAGGGUGAUCCAUCAGUUUUGUUAAGACACACUUACCUACAUAACCUGGGUAACUAAAGAGAGGUUAAUCAAGACUGAGGGCACCCUUGGCAUAGCCGUAACAAGCCCCAAGACGAGCCUGUGGCAGAUAGGUAAGAACAAGGAGCACAGUGGGACAGUUUCCAAGUAAGGCUUGCCAGGCAACCCCUGACGUGGCCUCCAACCAUCCCCACCUGCAGUGUUCACACCUUCAUCUAGUCCCCUUCCCUUGAGGGUGGGCUGCCCUACUGGCUUGCUUCUGUGAAUAGAAUACAGAAAAGGAACUUGGAUAUCACUUCUGUAAUUAGACUAUGUAAGGCUGUGACUAUUGCCUUCCCAGUAGACUGUCUUUUUGGCUUUGAUGAAGCAAGUAGCCAUGUUGGGGGAAACACAUGGCAAGUAAUUGAGGGCAGCCAACAGCUCAAAAGAAACUGAGCCUUACCAACAAUCUCAUGAUCAUGAAAGUGAAUCCUUCCCUGGUUCCCUCAUCUUCUGAUGAGCCCCCAGUCCUGGUGACUGAUUGGCCCAGCUAUGUGAGCCUGUGAGAAACUGUGUUGUUUCAAGUUGCUAAUUUUGUGGUAAUAUGUUAUGCAGCAAUAGAUAAUAAAGAUGAAAAAAAUUCUAAAAAUUAACAAAUGUAAACUUUGAAGACAAUCCCCUACUCAAGAA
rnacentral:lncRNA from 1 species